UACAGAGGGUGCAAGCGUUAAUCGGAAUUACUGGGCGUAAAGGGCGCGUAGGCGGUUUUUUAAGUUGGAUGUGAAAUCCCCGGGCUUAACCUGGGAAGGUCAUUUAGUACUGGUAGACUAGAGUAGAGUAGAGGGAAGUGGAAUUUCCGGUGUAGCGGUGAAAUGCGUAGAUAUCGGAAAGAACACCAGUGGCGAAGGCGGCUUCCUGGACUCAUACUGACGUUGAGGCGCGAAAGCGUGGGUAGCAAACAGG
rnacentral:rRNA from 1 species